rnacentral:lncRNA from 1 species
UCCUCGAAAAGCUCUCCCUCUUCUGAGCUGUGAUCGACCCACUCGUGCCCUUUGCGAUUGACUCGAUCAGACACUUCUUGUAGAUCGACUGCCCAUCGCCGAAUACAAAAUCGAUAGACCCCCGAAUGUAGCAAUCCCUGAAGUAGUGACGUCCUUCCUUGUCGUACAACGUGUCCUGCGCUCCCAAAAAUGCACAUCGGUAGAAUGCGCCCUGGUCUCCCUGGAUCCGAAGCGCCACCGCCUGCUUCCCUACAGCGCCGCCCGGUGGAGCGGGUGCAGAGUUCGCGAACGUGCAGUCAUAAGCAAUGAACCCCUUCGACUCGAUCGCAGUAGAAGCACUCUUCGCCGUUCCUCCCGCCUUCGCAGCUGUAUCUCCCCACACCAACGUCGCUUUCCUGCUCUGGCACUGGAACGUGAUAAACGGCUUCGUCUUCGGUACCAAGAUCUUCUCCCUGCACCAUUCCCAAACAAAAACCACGUCAACUCACCCAUCACCGCCAAUAACCCCAACACCAUCCACUUCUCACCAGCUCUCGUCAAAAUACGGGCCCAUGACUUACUUGUAAACGCCGUCAGGAAUGUAGAUCACAAUGCGCUUCGUGUUGCCCUUCGGUACCGCGUUCACAGCCUGCUGAACAGUCCUGUACGGCCCUUUCUGCUUGUUCACAUAAAUGGUCUUCCCCUUCGGUGCCGCCUGUGUUGUCAUAGUCUCGUCGACGCCCAGAACACUUUGCUGCUGCUUCUUUUCGUACUCGACGCGGACGGAUUCUAGCCACUUAUCCCACGACGAAUCGCUGUCGCUUCCCUGUCCGGAGAGAGUUCUGAACUCCGCUGCUGACGCGGGCUUCGCAACCGAACAUACGGCGACUAAAAUCACCAGUGCCGAGAAAAUGCAUCUUGACAUGCUCCCCAUUGCGGGUAGAUCAGAAAGAUUUCGCCAAUGCACUUCGCAACGCACCACUGUGCUGAUCAGACCGAAAUUGUGAACCGUGAUGUUGGCGCCUGUGCGAAAAAUCCCUGAACUACCUCUCGGCACCCUUCGCCUGAUCCCAGCGAGGAACGAGAAGUGGGAGACUUGCUGCAGUCGAGGGACCGCGAGGGGUUUUAAAGCGAGAAGACCUCACCACGGUCCAUAACUGCGAGUUCGUCGCGAAAGGAGGCGGUAAACCAUGUGAGAGAGCCCAAAUAUAGAGCUGCAUACUUUUUCUGAGACAUUCGUUUCACAAUAGCCUCCACCAAACAAACACUUCCGUGCCAGAAUAUUUCGGCUCAACAAUCUACCUGAGAUGAAACCCAAUGAUAGUAACUGCGAGCUCAGAUAACCUCAGGUGGCAUCUCGGAAUCCUUGCACUGCUUCUCAACAAAAACAGCGCUCCAGGGGUAGGAUUCACCUGGGCCCACCAAGCAUCGAGCGUGAGGCACUGAGAUGGACCUUCGUUGGAAAUGCAUAGUAAAAUGGGAUGGUGUCAUUUAACGGUUCUGAGAGCUUCGACAUGAUGCUUGGUGCAGGAGAUUAGUUCGACAUAUGCCGUGGAAUCACAUCCUGAUGAGAUUUUGUGAUCAUGGACACAGCAAAGCACGUUGUGAAUGCACCCCUGAAGUGGUCAUGCUCACUGCUUUUCGACGAGUGCAGACUUCAGUGUCUUGGUUUAGAAUAAAAACAAAGAGGACAGUCAAUGCUAACAAUCAAGCAACCCCUCCAUUUGACUGUCGAAUUCAAAUUAGUAUGGAUGUUAAUUAAUAGUAUUUGCAAUAUUAGUAAGUGCAUAUGAAAGGCAUCCAAAAAAUUUGCAAGUAUUUCAAAUUUGUUCUUUUGCUUUUUAUUAAUCACGUUUUUGCAAUCCAAAUACCAACCACCAGCAUGGAAACAAUAGAAAAUAGAAGAAUCAAGUCCGAAAGGGCAUUCUUCAAAAUCUUUUACAAAGUUUGUUCUAAACUUACUAAGAAAAACAAAAACAAAAAAGUAUAUUAUAUAUGUAUAUUUAUAUAUAUAUAUAUAUACACAUCCAAAAAAAAAUUCUUACAAUUAUAUCUUAAGAAGUAUAUAUUAAAGAAUUCUUAAGUAAAAGUUAUUUAGGACAGACAUGUUUUACAGACAUAUAUAUAUAUAUAUAUAUAUAUUUGACAAGAUGUGGUGCAUGUAGUAUCAUAAUUAUAGAAGUAAGUUUUGGUGUUUGGUAAUAUUCUUGAAGAUUAAAACUAUAACUAAUAAUAUUUUAGAUGUAUUUAAUGAGAGUAUUUAUAAAGAUUUGAAUAAUUGUGAAAUAAGUAAAUCGUUUCUUUGUCUCAAUAUGAAAUGUUAUUAAUUACUUAGAAGGCCUAUCUAAUAUCUUUGUAUAGAGUUGAGAUUGGAAUUUGUAUUAAAUAACAUUUUGGAUCAUAGACUUUAUGUAUUUAUAAAGGAAUUUUAUAACUUUGUUGUAAAAUUUACUCUUUUCUUAAAUAAAAUGUUGUUCAUUUAAAAAUUUCUUAAACCUCAUAUCUUACUAAAAUAUUUUAUUAAAUGAUAUAUUUAUGUGUAUUUUAAAAUUAUAUCUUACAAAAACAAUUAAUUUUCAUAUUAUUCUUGAAAAUUUUUAAAUAUAAUUAUUGAUUUAAAAGAAAUUAGGUAUAGAAUUUUCUUAGCAGUCUUUAGAAAAUCCUUUCAAGAAAAAAAAAAAAUUAGACUAAAAUGUAUAUUUUUUUCAAUAUAUUUUUAAUUUUCUUAAGAAUAGAUAAAAUUAUUGAUCUAUACUUUCAAGUGCAGAUUUUCAACCAAAUAUUCUAACUUUAACAAAAUAUUUUUAAAAAUAAAAUAAAAUAAAAUAUCAUUUCAAAAUCUUUUUCAGUAAUACAUUUUAAAUUUUAUAAUAUUUGUCUCUUAAAAUUAUUUAAGAGACUAUUUAAAAAAUUUAUAUAGAAAUAUUUUUAAAAAAUAAUUUUAUGUAUUUUAUAUAGUGUUUGUCAUUUUUUUUUAUNNNNNNNNNNNNNNNNNNNNNNNNNNNNNNNNNNNNNNNNNNNNNNNNNNNNNNNNNNNNNNNNNNNNNNNNNNNNNNNNNNNNNNNNNNNNNNNNNNNNGUUAAAAUAUUCUAGUUAAUUAUUUUUUGUUUAAUUACGCUUCUAAUCACAUUUUAAGAAUACUAUUUUGUAUUUAUAUAUAAAUAAGUAAUAUACUUUUUAAAAAUAAACUAAUAAUUUAUAUUUAUUUUUUAAAUAUAAAUUUAAGUAAUAUUUGCAUAUAAGUUAACAAAAGAUAAAUAAGAUUAGAAUAGUUAAGGUGUCUGAUAGAAUUUCUAUUAUUAUUGUAAUUUUGACAAAAAAUGGAAUUCAACUAAUGUAUUAAAUAAUCAAAAGAAGUACAAUACAAAUCCUAGACUUUAUAUCUAAGAAGAAAAAGUCAAGAUUUUUAUAAGAAGUGAAUGUUUAAUUUCUUAUAUUAUUACACCAAUAUGUAUAAUUAAUCACUUUGUAAUAUUUUAUUACUAUAAUUAAUUUCUUGAAAUAUCCUAAAUUCUUACAAAUGUUUAGCCAUCUGUAAUGUAUCAUAUCUCAUGAAAAUGGACACUUUAUCUGUAAUGUGUUUUCCAAUUUUUUCCUUUAAAAUUUUCUGCACACCUUGCCCAUAUUCUUUUAGUCUUUUUUAAAGUAAAAUUCUAUUAUAGAGAUCACUUUAAAUGUCUUAUUCAAAGAUAUAUUUCUUUCUUUUGUAUCCUAAUAGUUAAUAUACUAAGCAACUUUACAAUACCCAAAUUUUAUAGAAAUGUAUAAACUGGGGAUAAAUAUUCUUUCCAUAAAAAUGUAUUCUAGGGUCCCCAUUCCUACAAUUCAGUUGUUAAUUUGUGUGAGAGAAAGGUCACAUAAUUCUAUAAUUUACAAGCUUGAAGACGUUGCCAAAAAUUAUACAGGCUUGUUUCAAGCUUUUGGAGAAGAUAAACAACACAAUGUAUAUCAAUACAUGGAUUUAUUUUUAGUGAUAGAUGCUUCUCUUUUAUGUUAUAUAAGCCAAAUGAUCAUUGCUUCUUUGCAAGAACAUGGUUGGGACCAAACAUUGUUCUAUUAGAAAAAUUAUAAACUAACAAGGUGUUUCAUUUGCUUAUUAUUAUAUUAGUAUUAAAAAAACUAGUUGCAAAAGCUUUCUGAUUUAUUUAAUUAGUUAAGUCAUAAUUUCUUUAUACAUUAUCCAAAGAUAUGCAUUAUGAUUUAAGGUAAGUAUACACAAAAAACCAUAGAAUUGGUUUAUACAUGUUAUUCUUUGUCUUAAUGGACUAGUUUUCGAAUCUACACAAACAACUUUAAAAAAAUACCUACAACUUGAUUCUUCUAAUUUUAUAGAAGUAGUGCUUCUUGUACAAAGGAUAAUUUUUUAUGCAAGUGGAGAAUUCUAGAUUGAACUUUUAUUCAAUUUUUAUUUCUAGUUUUAUUUAUUUUUUUAUUCUAAUGGAUUGUAAAAAAUGAAAACCAAUUGCCUUCUUUUAUUCCUUCAUACUAGAUAUAAAAUUUAAAAAUUACAAUAGUUAGAUGGUCACUUUUCAAGAUAUAUAAUGUAUUGUUGUCUUGAACUUUAGAUAAAACCUUAUCUUAUUGAAGUAGUUUUUUUCUAAGAACAAUGAAAAUAAUAAUAUAAAAAACCAUAUAUAUCCAAAAAAAAAUUGUUAAUUGAUAUUUGAUUAUUUAUUCUUAAAAAAUAAGAAUUUGAAAUGGAGCUAUGAAGAGGGUUUUAAUCCUUUGGAGGCCUUUUGAUUGUAAAGUGGUUGCAUAAUGAGAAUUGAGGUGGAAAUCAAUGAAAGAAAAUUUUGUACUUCUACUAUUGAAAUCUAUUCCAUAUCUAAUGAAACAUUUUUUGAGAAUUGAGCUUUAAAUAAUUACACACUUGAGACCACACCUUGCCUAUUUUGUUCCAUAUUUUAGUGCCAAUGUUCUACCUAUGCUUUGAUAAUAGUAUCCAAGCAAAAUAGGACUGCCAUUAUGAAACCCUUNNNNNNNNNNNNNNNNNNNNNNNNNNNNNNNNNNNNNNNNNNNNNNNNNNNNNNNNNNNNNNNNNNNNNNNNNNNNNNNNNNNNNNNNNNNNNNNNNNNNUGAGGCGCCUAGAGGGAUUCCCAGGAUCAAUUCUGGCAGCGAGGAUCUCUACGCUGAGGUCAUAGGUGAAUUUUCGGCGGGCAGUUUGGUAGAGGAUCCAGACCGUGAGGCAUUUCAGUCACCAUGUGUCGAUGGCAAGAACUCUCGUAUUGUCGCUGGCUUUGCUCACGUUUUCCCAAAUUACUCGACCUACCUUGCGAAACCAGGCUUGUAUAUGGAGGCUCUUCAUAUCAGGAAACCUUACAGAAGGAUGGGAUUGGGCACGAUGUUUCUCAAGAAAAUUGCCAAGGAGGCUGUGAAGCUAGGGAUGGAGAGGAUAGAAUGGUGUUUGCUGCAUUCCAACCAGCCUGCCAUUAAUUUUUAUGAAGGCAACGGUGGAAGGAUCAAACCUGGGUUUCGGAAGUGUGCCAUCGAUGGCGAAGCCUUCAACAGUUGCGAACCAUAGCGUCAAGAUCACCUCUUGCAUCGAAAAUAAAAGGCACUUGAAGUCGUCGUCGUUAGAGAAAGAUUUUAGAAAAUGCUUCCUGAAACUUUUCUUUGUGGAUGCUUGAGCUGUUUUCCUUGUAAAGCAUUAUUUGAAGAUUGUUUUUCAGAGUUUUUGCAAUUAGAGUGCCAGGACAGCUAGCAUGCGUCUCAUGCAUUGUUGGCUUUUGGAAUUGGUAGUUGUAGAUAGUAAAUUGAUUCUCUUUUAGAGUUAGUGUUCACUUCGCUACAGAUUAGUUACAUAAGUUUCAUUGGUCAACACUCCGUCAGCGAUGAAUAGAUUAAUAUUUUUUUGCUUUAGUUAAGUGAGUGCUUCGGCACAUCUUUACUCGCAACGUUCCAAUUGUUGGCAAAACUUCGAUAAACACCGUGAUAUCCGUUUCGUUAUCCUUUUUGUUAAUGAAUAGCUGUUUUGCAUCUACGUAUUGUGGGUCUUUUCCUGAACAAGUGAUAUCAGUGACGUCGAGAAGCACCAUCUGCAAUCCUGUUUAGAAAGCGGGUGAGGGAACCGGUUUCUCUGCAAUUAAUCCAGUUUGUUUGUGCUAAAACAUCAACAAAUAGAUCGAUAAGCAAACCAGAACCUGUUUCUUUCCAAGAUGUGGUUUCUCUGCAGUUGAUGUGUUAGAGCACCCUGAAUCUUGCUGCAAAAAAUAUGCUGUAUUAAACACAUUGUUUCUCAUCAAAUAUCUGAUUAAAAAAAAAAGUACAUGUAUACUUUGAGGAUCAUUAUUCUUAUUGAGAUAUUAUUAAUAUUGAUAGAUAACAUCAAAGAAAAGCUUCAAUAGUGAAAGUUUCAUAGUAAAUGUAUUAAAAUUUUACCAUAAUUGUUUUAAUGAUAAGUGAAUGUUGAUUUAAACUUUUAUUAUUGCCAACUAAAUUUAUUUGGUUUUUUUGUAAUUAUACAAAUAUAUAUAUAUAUAUAUUGAAUGAAGUUUAGAUAAGAAAGUAGAUCCAAAUAUUAUUAUAUAAGUAAAAAAAUCUCAUCUAAAAAUAAAGAAAUUAAUUCUUUUCCCACAAUCAAACCACCAACAUUUUUCUAUACAUUAGCUCUUUUUACUCUUCAUAUCCAACAAGUUUAAAUAAUUAAAUAAUUAUAUAUAAUGAAUCAAAUAAUUAUAUAUAUAUAUAUAUAAAUACCUUCAUAAUAAUAAAUAAUAAAUUGAAAUUUUUCUAAAACUUGAUACAAAAUUAUGAUUUGUUUAUCAAUUUGAAGAUAAAAUAAAUAAACUAUCAAUUAUAUAAGAAUAUCAAAAGAUAUAUUAUAAUUUUCUUAAAUAGAAUCUUUAGUAAAUAUAAAAUCUACUGAAAAUCCAUGAUAAUAAUGGAUAUAAAAAAAAUUGGUUACUUUUUUACUUAUGAUAGUUCUUAGUUCUUAUUUUAAGAUUUUUUUAAAAUUUCCUCAAAAAGAAUAAUUAUCUAAAUAAGUCUUCAUAAAUAACAUACAUAAUAUAAAAUAUCUUUUAACAACUAAACAUAAACAAGAAUAUCUAUUCUAUCUUAUAUACAUGUUAAAUACGUUAUACUUUUAUUGAACUUUAUCUAGUCCUUAUAAUCAAACUUCUUUAUGAAUAUAUUUAUUAUUUAAAUAUCACUCAAUUUGUAUACUUCAAUACAUUAUAUGGUGAGAUUAUAAUUUGUAAUUGCACAUCUUAUGGUAUAGUUUGAUCGACUGUCAAAUAUUCCAUGAGAUAUUUCUGUAGAACUCUUCUAUCUCUCCACUUAUUAAAGAUCCAUUUGUAAUUAUUACAAAUACAACUGUCUAAAUUAUAUAGAUUGGAUACGAAGUCCAAUCAUUUCAUUUGUAAAUAACUUCUAUUACAUUCUCGUGUUUGCACUUGUCACUAUGCACUGAAGCAACUAUAAUCGCGUUCUGGAGUUCACACUAACUUUAUAUAUACUCAUCUUCAGUUCUCAUGUUAUGGAUUUCACUCCAACUCCUACCAGUGCAUCUUCAACCAAAUGGGAAUCUCGAAAGAACAUUUUCAUUACAUCGUUCUUUACAUUUGCUUUUAAACGAACUUUCACAUCGACUAUGAGGGACAUAUGGAAUUGUGUGAUCAUGCAAUACAAGUAUUCACUUCAUUUCCAUGCAGACUUCACAUCAAAGGUCGGCGAGUGCUCCGUAGUGAAAUAAUGCAGACAAACAAAAAUCAUGCCAUGUAUCCACACGCAGUCGAAAUAAAGCCAUCCAUGAGCAUCGUGCUGGAACGAAAGGUUCCUCCGCAUACCCGUGUUCGGAGCCCACAUGCAUGACACUACUUCCAUUGCAAAACUCACUGCCAGGCAUAUCAAAACCUCACCUUCUUCUUCUGGACCUGAUCCUUGCUGCCAGGAGUUCGCACUGCGUUUGUCUGUGGCUGCCCCGACAAUGCCAUGGAUUUCUACACUUCCACCCUCCCUCUAUCCACACCACUACCAAGUUCUCAUCACUCAAACACAUUCCUACCUCUCCGCGGCUACCCACCUGUGUAUGCACAUCUCACAUCUGCCAGAACUAAGCGAUCGCCAACUCCCACCGCACUGCACAGCAACAGUACGCACUCCACUGUGAAAGCACAUCCACGCUCCAACGACACAAUAAAACCAACCACAGCAACGAUCGCAUCGCGCUGCUCUGCUUCUCAUUUAUUGGAAACAAAGAAUGCUUAACAUGAAUACCAAUCUUCACCCCACCCAUCUCCAAAUAAUUAUCUUCCUAUCUAACCAAUCGUUCCACCCUUCCCACGUACCCAUCACCUUCACCUACGCCCACCCUACUCUACACAUACGGCAGCCACUGCUUGGCGUCGAUGAAUCCGUAAUCCAAAAACGGCUUCGCCUGUGCGGCGCUCAGAACCUUCGACCACGGCGCGCGACCUUUCCUGUUCGCUCCGGGACCCGUGCACGCAUACUCGGCGUAGAAUACCGUCUUCUGCCUCCUCUUAUCAUCCCAGUCCUGCCACCCGAUCGGACGGAUUAUGUUCGCCAUGUUGCACCUGCAGAACACCACGCGAGAGUGCGUCCCCCAAGCACGUCCCAGGUAGAUAGACCCGCUUCCCCUGAUCGUGCAUUGGUCGAACACGAAACCCGUCCUCGAAAAGCUCUCCCUCUUCUGAGCUGUGAUCGACCCACUCGUGCCCUUUGCGAUUGACUCGAUCAGACACUUCUUGUAGAUCGACUGCCCAUCGCCGAAUACAAAAUCGAUAGACCCCCGAAUGUAGCAAUCCCUGAAGUAGUGACGUCCUUCCUUGUCGUACAACGUGUCCUGCGCUCCCAAAAAUGCACAUCGGUAGAAUGCGCCCUGGUCUCCCUGGAUCCGAAGCGCCACCGCCUGCUUCCCUACAGCGCCGCCCGGUGGAGCGG